rnacentral:piRNA from 1 species
AUUCUGGGUAGUGUCUUCUAACUGGC